UUUCGACGCAGUCCAGAAGAGCCUUCUCGCUUUGAAUCGCCUUAGUCUCGUUACAUGGGUGUUGAAUCACAGUUCGGAGCAGUGUUUCGAAACAUCUCGAGAUCUCGACACCGUGUCCCUUGGGCUGGAAGGAAGGCUGCCCGCGCUGGUCCAUACUGAGGUUGGGGAAACUACAGACUAUGCGAUUCUAAGCUGUUCAGCACUGACCUCAGUCAUUAACUCAAACUCAUCAAGUCUGACAGAGCUGGAUAUAAGCAACAACAAUCUGCAGGAUUCAGGAGUGAAGCUGCUCUGCGCUGAACUGGAGAAUCCACAAUGUAAACUUGAGGCAUUACAGUUGUCAAACGGCUGUAUUACAGAGGAUGGUUGCACUGCCUUGGCUUUAGCACUGAAAAGAAAUCUCUUACACCUGAGAAAACUGAAUCUCAGUGACAGCACACUAAGAGACCCAGGAGUAAACCUUCUGUCUAACCUACUGGAGGAUCCACU